CGCCUGGGGAGUACGGUCGCAAGAUUAAAACUCAAAUGAAUUGACGGGGGCCCGCACAAGCGGUGGAGCAUGUGGUUUAAUUCGAUGCAACGCGAAGAACCUUACCUACUCUUGACAUCCAGAGAACUUUCCAGAGAUGGAUUGGUGCCUUCGGGAACUCUGAGACAGGUGCUGCAUGGCUGUCGUCAGCUCGUGUUGUGAAAUGUUGGGUUAAGUCCCGCAACGAGCGCAACCCUUAUCCUUGUUUGCCAGCGAGUAAUGUCGGGAACUCCAGGGAGACUGCCGGUGAUAAACCGGAGGAAGGUGGGGACGACGUCAAGUCAUCAUGGCCCUUACGAGUAGGGCUACACACGUGCUACAAUGGCGCAUACAGAGGGCGGCCAACUUGCGAAAGUGAGCGAAUCCCAAAAAGUGCGUCGUAGUCCGGAUUGGAGUCUGCAACUCGACUCCAUGAAGUCGGAAUCGCUAGUAAUCGUGGAUCAGAAUGCCACGGUGAAUACGUUCCCGGGCCUUGUACACACCGCCCGU
rnacentral:rRNA from 1 species